GAGUUUGAUCGUGGCUCAGAUUGAACGCUGGCGGCAUGCCUUACACAUGCAAGUCGAACGGCAGCACGGGAGCUUGCUCCUGGGUGGCGAGUGGCGAACGGGUGAGUAAUGCAUCGGAACGUAUCCUGGAGUGGGGGAUAACGUAGCGAAAGUUACGCUAAUACCGCAUAUUCUGUGAGCAGGAAAGCGGGGGACCUUCGGGCCUCGCGCUCUUGGAGCGGCCGAUGUCGGAUUAGCUAGUUGGUGAGGUAAAGGCUCACCAAGGCGACGAUCCGUAGCAGGUCUGAGAGGAUGAUCUGCCACACUGGAACUGAGACACGGUCCAGACUCCUACGGGAGGCAGCAGUGGGGAAUUUUGGACAAUGGGGGCAACCCUGAUCCAGCCAUGCCGCGUGAGUG
rnacentral:rRNA from 1 species